UGUUGGUCUAAUGCAGCAGCAGCACUCAGAAAAGCAAGACAAGCAGGCGGCGGUAAAAUGUACAGUACAGUUGGAUGUUUUGUAUUUAAAAUCUAGCCUACGAAUAAUCCGAAUGUUGGUCAUUUAGGUACCAAAUACCUCAUUCACAAAUAGACACAAUGGAUGGAUAAGAAGAACAGAAACUUGUCCUCCACAUCUGCAUUGUAGUAGAUUGGACAGGGGCCGUCACAAGAUAAAGGCUCCUCCCCAUCUUUGAGACUAAAAGGAAGUUGUUCUUUCCUACAGAAGAAGUUGAUGGUGUACAUUGAUGUUCAGAUAAAACGGCUAAAAAGAGCAGGAAGAAAAGUGAGUGAGAAAGUUUCCUCAUCGACUGACAGCACUUAAUCUGAAGUCAGCAUCUGGAAAUCUGACACAAUGAGCCGUCCACAGGGCUACAUAGAAGGUGAAGCUCCAGCCUCCCAACAACACUCAGGGUCAAAUGGAGGGUCAAAGGUCAGAUCAGAGAGAGUGGCCCUGCUGGUUGUCAGCGCUCUCCCUGGCAGCUGCUGUCAUUGUUAUUUGCCGUCUCUGUAAGUUUGUCAUGUAGAUUGAUGUAUAUUGACUUUACUUUAGUUUUAUCCCCAGUAACAACUCCUCCUGUGUUACUGACAGUUACAGUAAAUACUGAGUUUAUGUUUAACCACAUAAAUUAAUGGCUCUUAUACUGAAAGGGUGCAGGAAGUGUCCAUCA
rnacentral:lncRNA from 1 species